rnacentral:ncRNA from 1 species
UCUAUCUGGAAAGAGUGUUCAUUCAUUCACCGAAGGGGAAAAACCGAAAGGUUGAAGCUCUCAGGUACCGAGACAGAGGGGG